AGAGUGUGCUCAGGUCAGAGACCUAAAGUCAUGGCUCCUCUGUUUACAACACACCCAACCAGAAUCUGGGCUCAGUGACAAGGAGCGCAAAAUGUGUGGUCAUCCUUUGAAGACACACGCCCACACAA